CAGGGGGAAAAAAAGUACUAAGUAAAUUACAUUUACAAAUGAAUUGUGAGAAGCAUUACUUCUGAUAUAUUAAUUUGAUGAAAGCUCAUAGACCUUCAGAAAAGUGUCUGGUGUCAGAGUGAUUUCAAAUAAGUUUAGCAAUUUCUUUUCAACUGUACUCAUAUUGAAACUCCCUGACAUUAUCAGAUUAUCUUUUGAGUUAUCAGCUGUAAAAACAUCCUGUUUUCUAAUGUUUUAAAAGUCUUCUGGUUUUUUUCAGUCAUAGAAUUUGAAUGUAACCCAAUUUCAGUGUGAUUUACCAAUCUGUCCGGCAGCUUAGGUAAGUUUCUGGUGAGCAGGGACUCCUAUGCUUGACUGGCAUCAAGUUCAAAUGAUGACCAAGGUUAAAUGCAGGUGUAUGGCAUCCUCAUCCAUAUCCAGAUAUGGUCAACAUAAACCUUUUUUUCCCUUUUUUCUAUUUAUCUAGGAAGCACUUCCCUUUUAUCACAUGUGCCAAGGGCUUGAAAUGUGAAGGCUGUAUGGUAUGUCUCUUGCAUUUUUAACUGUUCUCCUAAUGAUGGGCUGAAAUGAAGACUGACAAUUUUUAUUUUUAAGCAGGUAAAUCUGUUGCAUGAGAAGCAUAACUGAUGCCACGGUGUCACUCCUGUGCCACACAGAGAAGAAACACUUGCCUUUAAACCCUUGGGUUUGUUUGCUUUUUGUUUUUAAGGGCAGGUUCCUGUCUCACAUAUCCCACUAUGUGUCCUGAAGGGUGUGAUUGUUCACUUGUGCUGCCAGACAGCUGUGACCUACUCAGGCAUGAUGCUCUAAUAGAAUGUUUCAUGCCCUAAAAUCUAAACAUUAGGCUCGUCAACACAUGGCAGGAAUGGGAAUGUAAUCACAGGCACACCAGUGUACAUAUUUGAGGUGAUGGUGAUUGAGAUAUCUGUGCUGAUAACACCAAACACUGAUUCACUUCAGAUUUUUGCUCCCUUGCCUUGCUGCUCCCUGGGAGCUGUGUGUAAGAUGUGAAAUAUUUGAAGGUGUAGUUUCAUCUGUUCCAGCCUGAAGCAGUCACUUAUUUUUUAGCUUACUGCAAGUGCUAUACUAACUAAAUUUUACUGCUCUGCCUACCAAGAGUGCUACUUGCAUCCAGGGCUCUAGAAAUGCUUUUCUGCUCCAAAAGCUUUCUAAACCAUUGCUAAGUACAGCCACAUUUUCCUUCUGUGAUAAACUUGGGGAUUUUGCUCCACUAGCAUUUAAUGUGUUAAAGCUUAAGGCUUUCACCAGAUGAUCUUUUCACUGUAAAGAUGAUUUGCUGCCUUCAGAAUUCAGCAGGAGCAGACCCAACAGGAACCAGAAUUCCACAGGACACCUUUGAAAUUCCCAGUCUGUCAGCUUUCAGAUUUUAGCAAGCUGUUUGUGUCCAGAACAAUGGACCAGCUUUAAGAUCCAUUUACUCAAGGAUGAUCCAUUGCACAGUUCCAUUUUCUCUGAGGAUUUCACUCCCACAAUUGAACCAAUUGUACAGUUUCUGGCUGGGAUUGAGUCACAUUUCUUCAUAGCAGCCUGUAUGGGACUGUGUUUUGGAUGUGUGAUGAUAAUGUGUUAAUAAUGGGGAUGUUUUCCUUACUGCUGAGUGGUGCUUACACUGAGCCAAGGCUUUUUCUGCUUCUCACCCACCCCAGCAGUAAGUGGGCUGGGGAAAGCACAAGAACUUGGGAGGGGACACAGCCAGGACACCUGAUCCCAAAUGACCAAAGUGAUAUCCCUUAUCCAGGCUGCUUUGCUCUGCAGGAACAGCUGCAAGAAGAUGAAGGAAUGAAAUGCUUGAUGGAGCUCUGCUUUCCUGGAGAUGGCCAAACACUCCCUGCCCAUCACAAGUAGCUCUCCAUGUCUCUGUCAGAACACCACCUAAACACAAGAUCAAGCCUUCAUGCUGCUACAGGCUGAAUUUUGGCAGCAUUCAAGAAACUGGACUGGGAAGAUUUUGUCAGAAAAUGAGAUGUGCAUUUGUAGCCUCUUUUGCUGACCCUGGGGCCACUUAUCUACACUGAGAAAUAG